GGCGCCUCCCCGCGAGGAGUCCCGGCGGCCGCCGCCGCGGCUGCUGACCGACAGGUCCGAGUCGGAGCCCGGCGAGCCCGGGGCGGAGUGAGCCGGCGAGCAGCUGCCCUCGCUGGAGUGCGGCGAGGCCCCGUAGAAGUUGCAGCAGGCUGCUGUGAGGCAGCCGGAGCCCGGCAGAGAGGAGUGGGCAAGGCGCACGGUGCCGAAACUAAAGGCGGGUGAAACUGUGCGCCUGUGACAAAUGUCAACAGCACCGGUGACUUCUGACCCGCAUUCACCAGGGAGACUUCCCCCCAUCUUCCAAAAAACACGUUUCUCCUUUCUCAUCUACCACCAAGGUCAUCGUCUUCUAAAAAACAAGCGUGUGUGUUUGUCCGCACGACAUUGUGAUUAGGAUGUUGUUAGCACAGUGGCUGCCCCCAAAAAUAUGCAGUAAAACAACACUGUAUUUCUAAAGCAUAUUAUGUAGAUUGGAGGUCUAUAAUUUAGAUUAUUAUACAUGUUUUAAUUGUGCUAAAAAACAUGGGACAGGUGCAACGUGAAAUUAUAUUAAUCAGCCAUGAGGAGGCAGGAGGGAAUUAUUUUGUAUUAUUCAAACAUUUCUUCCCUUGUCAGGUGAAGACAGGGUUUCACUUGGAGUUAUCUACAGCUUCCUACUACAGAAAGCUGUGUGUGCUUUUAAGCCAUAGAACAAAUUUAUGCAGUCACAGUAAAACUUGCAAAUGUGACGUAUGAAGGCAAGUCAAACACUGCAUUGUGCCUGAAAUAGCAUAGUCUAAUAAAGGUAAAAAUUCCUUUGUUACCUAAUCAGCAGCUAUCUCCUAACUGAGUGUUCUCACUGAUUUCAGUGAACCUCUUUAUGCAAGCAAGGAUCUGUGAAAUCAGGCAGUAUGUUUUAAACAUGCGAGAAGAUUGUUCUCCGUUGUUCUCCAAACCUUAGAUCUCAAUUACGAUACCUUAGCCUUAGGUAGAUACUUUAAGCAUUUCCUUGUUAAAAAGCACUUGCUGAUCAGAGAUCCCUUAACCCUCGAAUGCGCUUUAUGCACUCGGUGACUGAUAGGAGGAUCUGUAACACAGCUUUCUGCAGGCGGAUCCGACUGGAUCUUGUCUUCUUACAGCCAAACAACAACACGAAUCCGAGAAGUAUGUAAUUGAAAGAAUUAGAUUUAGUGCUGGAGCUGUCUGUAAUUCCCUUAAAAAUGCCAAGGGUAAAAAUGAAUGUCAAACCAAAAGUGUAUUCCACACAUUUUAAUUCUACUAGGUCAUGGAAGGCCCUCAGAACACAUACAGGCAGGGAUGAGCAACAUCUUUAUCGUUGCUAUUCCGUAAUCAUUUUGGAACUGAUUAAUUGAAGAUUAGCCUCUACAUAUAAAUGGAAAAUAUUCUGUAAAACAAUUUAAUGAGGUUUUUACCUUAAUGCAAAGAGGGUGUGGAAUUUCUUUUUCUGUUCCGAAGUUUCAACUCUACUGAAGUCUGAAUUGUUGACUUGCUUUCAUUUUACUAAGCAAAAUCCACUUCAGGCAACACUCUGAUACCUUAACUCAUGGUUGUUUCAUCAGCAAAA